GAAUAUUAUUAUUAUUGUUCUGAUGAUGAUGAUGAUGAUCAUACGAGCAACAAUAGUAAUUGUUUUAUUAUAACGAUGCAACCAUAUUGUAGGAUGCGAGGAAAAAAAUUGCCUGCGAUUCUUUUGUGAUCAAUUGUUCACAGAAUAAGGAAAAGGUAGAAUGUGUCUAAUGAAUUUUUUUUUUUUUUGCACAAAAUCUGUAUAAACAAAGUUUUCGUCAUGUUUAUUUCUUGAUCAUUCAAAUCUAUCCCAUAGUUCUUGUUCUUGUUCUCUGUCUGCGUGUGUAUGUUUAAUGUUGAAAGUAACAUUGAAAAACGUGAUUAUUCUUGAUGUGAUGACGAUGGUAUUGGCAUCGAUUCACAUUUAGCAUUUCGAGUAUUAUUACGAAUAAAGUUGGUAGCUGUUGCAAAUACAACUACAACUUUAUGUAGAUCAUUUUGUUUGUAUAUACAAUGAGCAAUGAAUAUUCUUCGUUUAAUUCUUUCUUUGGUUAUGAAUGACGAAUCAAAUUGUCGUCGUUGUUGUUAUUGUUGAAAAGGAUGUAUGUUUUUUAAGCAACAAGUUUACAACACACAUCUUUAUAAUGUGGAAAAUGUAAAAUCCGGUUGGUCAGUGAUGAUUGUGAACUCUAAAUAAAAACUGGAAGAUAAUUUUCAGAUAAAAAUCUAUCCUGGUUUUAAUAAUAAAAAAAAUUGUGAUCAUUGUGAAAACUUCAUCUCAAUUCCUAAUCGAAUCAUCAGUGUACAGUGUGUUACGAAUUAAUCAGCCAAUAAUUUGUAAAUAAUAAUCAUCAUCGCUGACGAAAAUUACGUUUCAAUGAAAGAAUCAUCAAUCAAUCAUUAUUCUCUUAUUAAAUCGGUCCACAUUGACAAUUUUUUUUUAAUGUGAUGAUCAUCGACAUCAACAAAACAUCACCAUGGUUAUUGUGGUCGGCUUGGUAAUCGUCCAAUGGUGAUGACGGUGAUGUAUCGUCUCAUGAUUAUAACCGGUAACUAUAACGGUUGAAACAUAUACACACACACAUAGUGUGUCAGGAGUGGA